rnacentral:rRNA from 1 species
UCCAGACUCCUACGGGAGGCAGCAGUGAGGAAUAUUGGUCAAUGGGCGGGAGCCUGAACCAGCCAAGUCGCGUGAGGGACGACGGUCCUAUGGAUUGUAAACCUCUUUUGUCGGGGAACAAAGGCGUCCACGGGUGGGCGGAUGAGUGUACCCGAAGAAAAAGCAUCGGCUAACUCCGUGCCAGCAGCCGCGGUAAUACGGAGGAUGCGAGCGUUAUCCGGAUUUAUUGGGUUUAAAGGGUGCGCAGGCGGCACGGCAAGCCGGCGGUCAAAUCGCGGGGCUCAACCCCGCCCAGCCGUCGGAACUGCCGGGCUAGAGUGGGCGAGAAGUGCGCGGAAUGCGUGGUGUAGCGGUGAAAUGCAUAGAUAUCACGCAGAACUCCGAUUGCGAAGGCAGCGCACCGGCGCCCUACUGACGCUCAGGCACGAAAGCGUGGGUAUCGAACAGGAUUAGAUACCCCCGUACUG